rnacentral:rRNA from 1 species
GAUGAACGCUGGCGGCGUGCUUAACACAUGCAAGUCGAACGGAACUACUCCAAUGAGAGUCUUCGGAAAGGAUUUGGUUUAGUUUAGUGGCGGACGGGUGAGUAACGCGUGGGUAACCUGCCCUAUACAAGGGGAUAACAGUUGGAAACGACUGUUAAUACCGCAUAAGCGCACAGGAGCGCAUGCUCCGGUGUGAAAAACUCCGGUGGUAUAGGAUGGACCCGCGUCUGAUUAGCUGGUUGGCGGGGUAACGGCCCACCAAGGCGACGAUCAGUAGCCGGCCUGAGAGGGUGAACGGCCACAUUGGGACUGAGACACGGCCCAAACUCCUACGGGAGGCAGCAGUGGGGAAUAUUGCACAAUGGGGGAAACCCUGAUGCAGCGACGCCGCGUGAGCGAAGAAGUAUCUCGGUAUGUAAAGCUCUAUCAGCAGGGAAGAAAAUGACGGUACCUGACUAAGAAGCCCCGGCUAACUACGUG